ACGGUGACUGGCUGACUGAUUUAUAAAUAAUAAUGAGUAGUUAUUUAUGAUGCAAGGUGAUUUGUAAAUCAGUCAGUCAGCAGCCACCUGCACUGUCGGCUGCAAUGUCGAACGAGCCCAAAUUAAUCAAAACCAAUCAGGUGUUCGACGAAAUGAUUCUUCAGACGUCAUUGAUCACGUGCUGCUGAUAAAGGGACACUGCUUUGAAUUAUACCGCUUAGCGACUUCAGUACAUGCCUCAUAGCUCCAGUCUCAAACUUAACCCCGUUCCUGAUGAUGAAGAAGAGGUGGUCUGCCUGCUGGAUGGAGAAAGAAGCUCUCGUGGAAGAGGAGGCUGUUACAAUACAAAAACAAGUAGAGGUUGAGGCUGUUACCGUGAAAGACGAAGAGAAAGAGGUCUCAGUUAAAGAAGAGGAAGACUCGUUCAGAGUCAAAGAGGACGGCGACGUUUCAGUGAAAGAAAAAGAGGAGGGGGAAGUGACUGUCACAUCGAAAAAUGAAGAAGAGGAGGAAACUGGAUGUCUGGGCCCGGUUUCCCAAACGCAUCUUAAGGCGUCCGAUUGUUCUAACGAUGAACCGGCCCUGAUUAACACUAGAAAGAGACCUGACUAUCGUGGAUCCUCUGGGGGGCCUCAACAACCUCAUGAUGCUGACAGGGCAGAGAAUAGUCUCUCCACAUCAAAACCCCUCAAGAAACACCAGCAGAGACCCACAGGGAAGAAAUCUCAUUGCUGCUCUGACUGUGGGAAAGGAUGCAAAUCUUCAUCAGAACUUAAAAUACACCAGAG